AAAAGCUACCCCGGGGAUAACAGGCUUAUCUCCCCCAAGAGUCCACAUCGACGGGGAGGUUUGGCACCUCGAUGUCGGCUCAUCGCAUCCUGGGGCUGUAGUCGGUCCCAAGGGUUGGGCUGUUCGCCCAUUAAAGCGGUACGCGAGCUGGGUUCAGAACGUCGUGAGACAGUUCGGUCCCUAUCCGUCGUGGGCGCAGGAAAUUUGAGAGGAGCUGUCCUUAGUACGAGAGGACCGGGAUGGACGCACCGCUGGUGUACCAGUUGUCUUGCCAAAGGCAUCGCUGGGUAGCUAUGUGCGGACGGGAUAAGUGCUGAAAGCAUCUAAGCAUGAAGCCCCCCUCAAGAUGAGAUUUCCCAUAGCGUCAAGCUAGUAAGAUCCCUGAAAGAUGAUCAGGUUGAUAGGUCAGAGGUGGAAGCGCGGUGACGUGUGGAGCUGACUGAUACUAAUCGAUCGAGGACUUAACCAA
rnacentral:ncRNA from 1 species